GGCGGCGUAGCUCAGCUGGCUAGAGCGUACGGUUCAUACCCGUAAGGUCGGGGGUUCGAUCCCCUCUGCCGCCACCA
rnacentral:tRNA from 27 species